UGCUGAACAAUUAUUCUUAGAAACUUUUAAAGAUUUUCUCUCUCUAGAGAAAAGAACCCUAUUCAUUCCUUAUACCUCUACAUCACCGACAAUUAGGUUCCGAAGCCAUCGAUAUAGAAGGUGUGGCAUAUCGGCGACCUUAAUCAACAGAAUUCUGGCAGUUUUAAGUUUAUAAUUCAGUAAAUCGUUGCCAGUUGUGUAUAUUUUCUACUUCUUUUAAAUAUAUCAAAUCGAAAGCUAGGGUUUCUUUCAUCUACUGUAAUAGUUGUUUAAUCACAAGUUUUUGGUCCGAUGUUGUGUUUUGAUCAACCAUUGUUCAAUUACAUCAGUAAUUGUUUUGAAGGAUAAGGUUAAUUUAACAUGUGUAUUUCGAUUACUGGUUGAGUUUUUUGGGGUAAGACGUGAUGAAGAUUGUAGACUGGGUUGUACACAUAUGUACAGGGUGUUUUUUUAGUUAAUGGACAUGGUUUUUUUAGUUAAUGCACUGGUUCAGAAUACACAUGUGUUCUUCUUGCUCUGUUUUUUAAAAAUUAGUUCUCCUUGCUCUGUUUUUAUUUGUUUUUUUAUGUGAACUGGUUCGGAAUACACAUGUGUACAUUAGUUCUUCUUGCUCUGUUGAUUUUACACUUGUGAAUUAUGCUGAACUGGUUCAGAAUACACAUGUCUUCUUGCUCUGUUUUUACAAAUUAGUUCUUCUUGCUAUGAUUUUAUUUGUUUUUUUUAUGUGAACUGGUUCGGAAUACUCAUGUGUACAUAAGAAUUACCGAUGUGUUUAUUGCUCUGUGUAAACUAGUAGAUAUACACGUGUGUAUUAUAAUGUUGAUAUUGAAUUGGGGAAAAAGUUUAUUUUUAUUUGCGAAAAGGGACUAGUGUGUGUAAACACAUAUGUACAGGGUGUUUAACGUAUACAGUGGACUUUAGGUUCAUCUUUAUCUCCAUGUAAUUUUUAUUCGGUACUUCUUUACAAGCAAAAUAGAUGUCACAUAAAUCAAUUAUCAUGGCAUGCUUGGUAACUAUCCCGUGAGUAAAAAAAAAGAUGUCUGUGCAAAUAUAAUUGAUUAUGGACAGACAAUUGAUCUGACCUCUGAACUAGUAUUCGUAUUCUCUUCUUAUUCAUAAUUUGUUAUACUAGUAUUCGUAUUCUCUUCUUAUUCAUAAUAAUUGAUUAUGGACAGACAAUUGAUCUGAACUCUGAACUUGUAUGCAUCCACGAUUCUGCAAGACCUUUGGUGCUAGUGAUGCAGAAAAGGUUCUGAAUGAUGGGUUGCGAGUGGUAGCAUCAGUACUUGGUGUUCCUGCUAAAGCUACUAUUAUAGAGGCUUAACCUGAAAGGCGACAGAAAAACUAGUUGAUGACAAGCGUCACGGGUUAUUCGGCGUGAAUCUUUUUGUGCUUUGUUCAUAUUCGUAAUCGCUUGUUAGUAAUCAAAAUCAAGAAUUGUUUCAAAAGAUUGUUGGGAUAUUUUAGUACCUGUAUGUGUUUUGUUUGACUAAUUAAUUUAAUUGUUUUUAAAUGAAGGAUGGGUUGUUAUUUCUGAAUC